rnacentral:tRNA from 1 species
UCUAAUAUGACAGAAUUAAUGUAAUGAAUUUAAGCUUCAUCUAUAAAGAUUUUCUAAUCUUUUAUUAGAA